rnacentral:rRNA from 1 species
AAUUGCGGGGUGCUUACAAUGCAAGUCGAACGGAGAUUCAGCAAUGGAUCUUAGUGGCGAACGGGUGAGUAACGCGUAGGCAAUCUGCCUUCUAGAUGGGGACAACAUCCCGAAAGGGGUGCUAAUACCGAAUGUUGUACCGUUUCCGCAUGGAGAUGAUACUAAAGGUGGCCUCUGAAUAUGCUACCGCUAGAAGAUGAGCCUGCGUCUGAUUAGCUAGUUGGAGGGGUAACGGCCCACCAAGGCUUCGAUCAGUAGCCGGUCUGAGAGGAUGAACGGCCACACUGGGACUGAGACACGGCCCAGACUCCUACGGGAGGCAGCAGUGGGGAAUCUUCCGCAAUGGACGAAAGUCUGACGGAGCAACGCCGCGUGAGUGAAGAAGGUUUUCGGAUCGUAAAGCUCUUUCGUUAGGGACGAACGUGCUCUUUGUGAAUAAUGAGGAGUAAUGACGGUACCUAAAUAAGAAGCCACGGCUAACUACGUGCCAGCAGCCGCGGUAAUACGUAGGUGGCAAGCGUUGUCCGGAAUUAUUGGGCGUAAAGCGCGCGCAGGCGGGAUAUCAAGUCUGUCUUAAAAGUGCGAGGCUCAACCUCGUGAGGGGACGGAAACUGGUAUUCUUGAGUGUCGGAGAGGAAAGUGGAAUUCCAAGUGUAGCGGUGAAAUGCGUAGAGAUUUGGAAGAACACCAGUGGCGAAGGCGACUUUCUGGACGAUGUCUGACGCUGAGGCGCGAAAGCUAGGGGAGCGAACGGGAUUAGAUACCCCGGUAGUCCUAGCCGUAAACGAUGGGUACUAGUGUAGGGGGUAUCGACCCCUCC